GUUUAACAAGUUCAAGAGAGAAGAUAUUGGCCAAAUACAACACAGAGGCUAAACACAACACCUAUGUUGAUUGUUUGGUGCAUAAGAAUUGAGAUGAUGGAAAGAGGUCACUGUGAGCUUCAGGAAUAGCUUGAGGCUAACUGAUAAAACAGAGUGGAUUGACAAUUAUUCUCUGGACUUUUUGGUAACCAAGAACUUCUAGCAACUAACCCUGGCAUGACCACCAGAAUCUGCAGGGCUGAGAGAAGAAAGAAAGGCAAAAGUGGAUGAAUGCAGCUGAAGAUGCUGUGGAACUCCUAUCACAUUCCAAGUGCUGUGUUGAUAUCUGGAGAUAUAGACAAGAUCGAAGCAGAUGCAGUCUUUCACAUGAAUAUUUGAAUCAGGCACAGGAUGCAGGUGAUGGGUAUUGGCCUCAGCUUUAGAGACCAGAGGUUAAAUCUCAGUGCUGCCUGCCACAAAACGAUCCAUGUAAGUCAAUAAACAAUGCUUUUUAAAAUAUUAUUAUAAAGAUAUAGUGUGUGGAUCCCUCUCAAUUGUCCAUUCUUCCCUGUCACAAAAAUUUGCCUGCUUUUCGUUACCAUGUGAGAGGCAAAUGAAUUGAACUAAAUGGUUUCUAAUGCCCUGUCCACCUCUAAAAUUCUAUAGAACUGUGAUUUGAUUCCAAUGGGCCAUAUCAGGACUCGGCAUUAUUUUCAUCAGUGAACCAUUUCAUUAGAAAUUUAUUUUUCCAAAUGAUAUUAGUAAAUAUUGAAGGAGGCUUCUCCCACAGAGCUUCUUGUACAAAUUAAAACAGGGCAGUAGAAGGUUUUCAGGUUGG
rnacentral:lncRNA from 1 species